rnacentral:rRNA from 1 species
CCUACGUGAGGCAGCAGUGGGGAAUAUUGCGCAAUGGGCGAAAGCCUGACGCAGCGACGCCGCGUGAGGGAUGAAGGUCUUCGGAUCGUAAACCUCUGUCAGCAGGGAAGAACAGUCACUGUGCUAAUCAGCAGUGAAUUGACGGUACCUGCAAAGGAAGCACCGGCUAACGCCGUGCCAGCAGCCGCGGUAGUACGGAGGGUGCGAGCGUUAAUCGGAAUGACUGGGCGUAAAGGGCGAGUAGGCGGGAGGUCAAGUCAGGGGUGAAAUCCCAGGGCUCAACGUGGGAACUGCAUUUGAAACUGGCAAACUGGAGUGUGUGAGAGGAUAGUGGAAGUCGAGGUGUAGGAGUGAAAUCCGUAGAUAUCAGGAGGAACAUCAGUGGCGAAGGCGACUAUCUGGCACAUAACUGACGCUGAGGAGCGAAAGCGUGGGUAGCAAACAGGAUUAGAUACCCCUGUAGUC